AUGACAUGCGUGUCGUUUCACACACCUCCGCUUCUACGGCGAUAUUCUUCAAUUCUUCAAAAUCUUUUUUUCUUCUUCCUAUUGCAUAUUCCAAUCAGUUCGACAGUAAAACAACUUACUGUACCCGGACAAAUAGUUCUAGGAGGAUUAUUUCCAAUUCAUGAAGCCGGAAGAAAUGCAUCACAUCAAUGUGGAAAGAUUAAAGCAGAUCAAGGAGUUCAGAGAAUGGUGGCAAUGUUAUUUGCAUUGGAAAAGGUUAAUCGAGAUAGACAACUACUUCCACAAGCAAGUUUAGGAGCACAGAUUUUGGAUACAUGCUCAGUUGACAGUUAUGCAUUGGAACAAACUCUUGAAUUCAUAAAAUCAGUCAUGUCAAAUGGAGAUGGAGUAACAUGUGCAGAUGGUUCAACUGGUUCAUAUACUAGACAGCCAGUUGUUGCAGUUGUUGGAGCUGCUGGAAGUCAAGUCAGUGUUAUGGUUGCUUCGAUGUUACAAUUGUUCAAGAUUCCUCAAGUCAGCUACAGUUCAACAGGAGCCGAAUUAAGUGAGAAGCCCCGAUUCGCUUUUUUCUCAAGAGUUGUUCCACCAGACAACCUGCAAGCUCAAGUCAUGGCUAGAGUUAUUGGAGCACUGGAAUGGACAUAUGUACAUGCAAUUGCUGAUACGGGAUCCUAUGGUGAAAGAGGAAUGGAUUCAUUUCGAGCAGCUGCAGCUGAAAAUGGAAUUUGUAUUGAUGGAGAUGUACAGAAGAUUUCGAGAAGAUGGACUGAGAAAAAUUUCAGAGAUCUCCUAAUCCGAAUGCAUCGAACACGGAAGGCUCGUGGAGUGGUGAUGUUUGUCGAUGAAGAUAAUUUAAAACGACUUCUCAAGACGUUGGAUCUUCUUGUAGCUGAAGGACAUACCGAAUUGGAUAGACAUUUUUGGUUUGUUGCAUCCGACUCAUGGGGUAUCAAACAAUCAGUUGUCCGUGGAUUGGAGCAUCGAACAUACGGAGCAAUCACAAUUGCUCCAAUGGUACGAGAAGAAACUGGAUAUUUGGAAUAUUUUCGAUCACUUUCCCCAAAAGGAUUUGUUUUCUUGGAAGAGUUUUUCGAGUAUCUCGGAUGUUCGGCCACUGUAGAUGUCAAGACUUUUGGAGAUUGUUUUGAUAUGGUUAAUAUUACUUUGAAACAGGAAUCCUAUGUUCCAUUUGUGGUUGACACUGUAAAAAUAAUUGCAAAAGCAAUUUCAAUGUACAUUGAAGAUGAUUGUGGGAAGAUUCCAUUUCAUAAGUGUACAUUGGCUCAAUCAGGGUUCAGAGGAGAACGUCUUCAAAGAUAUUAUAGGAAUAUGUCUCUCAUCAAAAACGAGCCAGCCUUAAUCGAUGCGAAUGGUGACGGAAUCGGACGAUAUGAUGUCUUCCAAUUGGAUAUAAAUGGAGUAUAUCAAAAAGUUGGAAAAUGGAGAUCUACAGAUGAUUUCUUGUCUGUUGAAGUCGAGAAAAUCCGUCACGCAUUCAAAACAGCUCACGGAGAACGGCCGAUGAGCGUGUGCUCCACGGAUUGUCCACGUGGACAUUACAGAGCAUAUCAGGAUCAGACGUGUUGUUGGGCAUGUAUUCCAUGUGAUACUUCUACAAGUAUUCAUAAUGAAACAAGAAAAGUUAUUUGUUGGACUAUUAUAAAUGCGUCAUCAGACUUCAGAUUGUUUGACCAGCGGUAUUGAAUAACACAAUGAAACAGUAAAAAAGUUGUGAAAAUUUUACAUAUAUUUUUUCGACAUUGAAAUAAAUGUUGCGUGUUGCAGCUGUGAAGAGUGUGCUGUUGGAAUGGUUCCAGAUCGAACUCUUCAUUUUUGCGUGCCAAUUCCUCCGGUUUCAAUGCAAUGGGACACAACAUGGUCUCUAAUCCCAGCUGCAUUCUCAACACUUGGAAUCGCAUCGACCAUAUUUGUUGUCUCGGUUUUCUUAAAAUUUUCCAAUACUCCUGUGAUAAUGGCAUCUGGAAGAGAGCUAUGUUAUUGUAUGAUGUCUGGAAUUGGAAUGUGCUACACUUUGACAUUUUUCUUGGUUUCUCAGCCGACUGUUAUCACAUGCUCAAUGACUCGGAUUCUAAUGGGUCUAUCAAUGUCAGCCAUUUAUGCAGCAAUCAUCACAAAAACUAAUCGACUUGCACGAGUAUUCAAACCAGAUUCUGCACAAAGACCGAGGUUUAUCACUCCAAAAGCUCAGGUUGGAAUUUGCAUGGGAAUAGUAUCUGUUCAACUGAUCGGAACAUUUGUCUGGAUACUAUUCGAUCCACCUGGCACAAUGAUUGUAUUUCCAACAAGAACUGAAGCAGUAUUAACUUGUAAAGCAACAACUUCUCAUCUCCUUAUAUCUCUGCUCUACAACAUUUUGCUAAUUGUCGCCUGCACUGUGUAUGCCUUCAAAACACGGAAAAUACCGGAAAAUUUCAAUGAAACACGACAUAUUGGAUUUACAAUGUAUUCCACGUGUAUUCUUUGGCUUGCAUUCGGUCCGAUUUAUUUUGCGACACAGAGUGAUUUCAGGAUUCAAAUAACAUCAUUGUGCAUGUGCAUAUCACUUUCUGGAACAGUUGCACUUAUUUGCUUUUUUGCUCCAAAGGUCUACAUAGUUCUCUUCCAACCAUACAAAAAUGUGAGGACCCGUCAAUCAGCUGUUGGACGACUCGUAAAUCAACAAAUGAGGUUUAUGAGCCAAUUGACCUACAACCCCGAUGGAUGCAACUCAUAUCAACCGAUGUCUUCCAACCAAUCCUAUAAACCUAGUACAGAGGAGAGUUCUCACACGAGCAACGCUCAGGUACAACAGCCAACUCGAGCGAUCCCUCCGCAUGUAAUUGAACAAUUGGCAGCGAGUCUACCGAUUAGUGAUAAAAAUGAUUUGGUGAAAAAGUUGUCACUCCAAGACAAAUUCUUCAACAAUAACAAUAAUAACGAGAACAGUGAAGAGAUUCGUCGUCGUCGUCCGAGCAGUGUUCAUACAGUCGGAGCAGUUACAAAUGGCUCAUCAGUUGCUCAUAUUCCACCAAGAAGCUACACAGAUGAACCAAAAUCAUCAAUGAUUCGGCAGGACACUGCAAAGAGUAGAACAAGUCUUGCAGAAUCUCAUCAAGUUGACCUUAUUCUGGAAGAAAUUGCAGCCGACACUAAUUCCACUUUUCUUUGA
rnacentral:misc_RNA from 1 species